CCUACGGGUGGCUGCAGUCGAGAAUCUUCCGCAAUGGGCGAAAGCCUGACGGAGCGACACCGCGUGAUUGAUGAAGUGCUUCGGUAUGUAAAGAUCUUUUAUAGGGGAAAAAGUUUAUUGAUGGUACCCUAUGAAUAAGGACCUGCCAAACUCGUGCCAGCAGCAGCGGUAAUACGAGUGGUCCAAGCGUUAUCCGGAAUUAUUGGGCGUAAAGGGUGCGAAGAUGGAAUUAAUAGUCGAGUGUUUAACCCAUGGGCUCAACCUGUGGAUUGCAUUCGAAACGUUAAUUCUUGAGGUUGUUAGGGGUUAGCAGAACUCAUAGUGUAGGGGUGAAAUCCGUUGAUAUUAUGGGGAAUACCAAAAGCGAAGGCAGCUAACUAGAGCACACCUGACAUUAUAGCACGAAAGCGUGGGUAGCGAAUGGGAUUAGAUACCCCGGUAGUCC
rnacentral:rRNA from 1 species